UACGGAGGGGGCUAGCGUUGUUCGGAAUUACUGGGCGUAAAGCGUGCGCAGGCGGUUUGUUAAGUCCGUUGUGAAAGCCCCGAGCUCAACUUGGGAAUUGCAGUGGAUACUGGCAGGCUGGAGUACGGUAGAGGAAGGUGGAAUUCCCGGUGUAGCAGUGAAAUGCGUAGAUAUCGGGAGGAACACCAGUGGCGAAGGCGGCCUUCUGGACCAGUACUGACGCUCAUGCACGAAAGCGUGGGGAGCAAACAGG
rnacentral:rRNA from 1 species